rnacentral:tmRNA from 1 species
GGGGGUGAACAGGCUUCGACCUGGGUGCGAACCACCUGGGGGAAGCGGGCCGAGGUCUCCGGAUGCCUCGUUAAAAGCCGGAACACGAACAAACGCCAACUCUGACAUGGCGCUUGCUGCCUAGCUAACCGCUGGCAGCCGUCCGCCGCGGAUCGCCUGUGUCCGCGGGCCGGGCGUCGCGAGCAGGCUCACGGUUGCGGUCUCGCCAGUCGGCCGCCGCCGGACAUCGCUGACCGGCUGGCCUCGAGGACCUCCGCCGGUGGGAGCCUCGGGGCGACACUACCCCGCCGGCUACGCCCGUAGAAGACCCAGAUGGACGCCCGGGGACGCGGGUUCGAUUCCCGCCACCUCCACUC